CCUACGGGGGGCAGCAGUGAGGAAUAUUGGUCAAUGGGCGAGAGCCUGAACCAGCCAAGUAGCGUGAAGGAUGACUGCCCUAUGGGUUGUAAACUUCUUUUAUAAAGGAAUAAACUGCAGCACGUGUGCCUUUUUGUCUGUACCUUAUGAAUAAGGAUCGGCUAACUCCGUGCCAGCAGCCGCGGUAAUACGGUGUAUCCGAGCGUUAUCCGGAUUUAUUGGGUUUAAAGGGAGCGUAGUUGGAAGGUUAAGUCAGUUGUGAAAGUUUGCGGCUCAACCGUAAAAUUGCAAUUGAUACUGGCAGUCGUGAGUACAGUAGAGGUAGGCGGAAUUCGUGGUGUAGCGGUGAAAUGCUUAGAUAUCACGAAGAACUCCGAUUGCGAAGGCAGCUUACUAAACUGCAACUGACAUUGAUGCUCGAAAGUGUGGGUAUCAAACAGGAUUAGAUACCCUAGUAGUC
rnacentral:rRNA from 1 species